rnacentral:rRNA from 1 species
UACGUAGGGCGCAAGCGUUGUCCGGAAUUAUUGGGCGUAAAGAGCUCGUAGGCGGUUUGUCGCGUCUGCUGUGAAAACCUAAGGCUCAACCUUGGGCUUGCAGUGGGUACGGGCAGACUAGAGUGUGGUAGGGGAGACUGGAAUUCCUGGUGUAGCGGUGAAAUGCGCAGAUAUCAGGAAGAACACCCGUGGCGAAGGCGGUUCUCUGGGACGGUAACUGACGC